UUUGACAGCUUCAAUUAGUUUUAGUAAACAUUUUGUGAACCAGCUGAAAUUUAUAAUUACAAAUUUGAACGUGAGACUCCGCUGAAACUCGAAAACUCGAAACCAAACUGGUUCGCCAAUUGAGCAAACUCGUUAAAUGAAAGCCCUCAACUCUCCAACCAUUCAUGAGUAGCAUCUUCCCAAUGAAAACCCACAAAAUCCCAUUCAUGCCGAGGCUGCAAAUGGGAAAACCCAAUCGAAUCGAUCAGGCAAACAUCCCCGACAACUGUCAGAACAUUUGAUUUCAAUUAUCGAUUCCCAGUCAAUGUCCUUUCAGCCCAAAGCCAAAGCCAGGCCCGGGCCAAGCCAGGAAUGCAAUAAAUUAAUGAAAAAAUCAUGAGAGCAUAAAAAUUAAGCCCUAACUCCAUAAAAAAGCAAACAAAUACAAUUGCACAUAAGUGAUAAAUAAUAAGGCGAACAAAAAGAGCCAGGACAGCAGAACAAACGAAAACGAAACGAAACGAUCGAUGGAGGCAGCACUUCAAGCAUGGGCAAAAAACACACAGUAUCUAAACUCGUAUAUAAAAAAAUGACAGCUGACAAGGGUGUGAGCAAGAGUAGCAACUGCAACAGAAGCAACAGCAACAGCAACAGCAGCAGAAGCUACAGCAACAACAGCAACAUUGGCAGCCGGGCGGACACAUCAAUUAAUUGUCAAUUGCGCGUAUUUUCGCACGGCGGUUUCCUUUGUGACCAAAUGGGAGGAAAAAACCGAACCAUCAGCGAACUUCAUUGAGAUCUGAAGAGUGGGUCUCUCCGCCUCCCUGCCUGCCUACUUCGAUGGCUGUCUAUGACAAGAGGAAAAAAUAAUUAAGUAGCCAUUGUGAGCGGCGGCAUUAUCAAUUAUACAGCUACCGAGAUACAGAGCUACCGUGCAGAGACACUCGUACAUCGUACAUCGGACAUCUAAGGCGAUGGUCAGUCGUGCAGUCGUGUAUCUUGUAGCUACAUUGUUAGCUGUCAAAUGUAACAAAUGUCAAGAAAUCGCCCGGGUUCAUAAAAAACUAGAUCAUUCUAGGAGUGCUGGUGCUUCAGCCUGAGGCUGCCGGCUGCUGAAUGCAGCAAUCGUUUGUCAAGUUCAUAGCAAAAACCAAGCACGCACGAACCCGAACCCGGGCACAGGCACAGGCACAAGCACAGUACGAGAUUUCCUGUUCCAGCCCUUCCGCAAGCCGAAGCGAGUCCGCACCGCCUUCUCGCCGACGCAGCUGCUCAAGCUGGAGCACGCCU
rnacentral:misc_RNA from 1 species